rnacentral:rRNA from 1 species
UACGUAGGGGGCAAGCGUUGUCCGGAUUUAUUGGGCGUAAAGAGCGUGUAGGCGGCCUGAAAGGUCAGCUGUGAAAACUCGAGGCUCAACCUCGAGACGUCGGUUGAAACCAUCUGGCUAGAGUCCGGAAGAGGAGUGUGGAAUUCCCGGUGUAGCGGUGAAAUGCGCAGAUAUCGGGAAGAACACCCGUGGCGAAGGCGGCACUCUGGGACGGUACUGACUCUGAGACGCGAAAGCGUGGGGAGCAAACAGG